rnacentral:rRNA from 1 species
UACGAAGGGGGCUAGCGUUGUUCGGAAUUACUGGGCGUAAAGCGCGCGCAGGCGGUCUUCCAAGUCAGUGGUGAAAGCCCGGAGCUCAACUCCGGAACUGCCAUUGAAACUGUGAGACUUGAGGAUGAGAGAGGUGAGUGGAAUUCCCAGUGUAGAGGUGAAAUUCGUAGAUAUUGGGAAGAACACCGGUGGCGAAGGCGGCUCACUGGCUCAUUUCUGACGCUCAUGCGCGACAGCGUGGGGAUCGAAACAGG